AUUGUAUUUACUGAUGCUGGGAAUCUCAGAGGUUAAAGGGUUUGCCAAAGAAGUACGAUGGGCACAAGAGAAGAAUGCCUCCCAACAACCUGAGACUUGCACGCAGACUGCAGAUCUACUGCUGCAGUCUUUAAACUUGAAGAGCUGA
rnacentral:lncRNA from 1 species